CCUACGGGUGGCAGCAGUCGAGAAUCAUUCACAAUGGGGGAAACCCUGAUGGUGCGACGCCGCGUGGGGGAAUGAAGGUCUUCGGAUUGUAAACCCCUGUCAUGUGGGAGCAAAUUAAAAAGAUAGUACCACAAGAGGAAGAGAAGGCGAACUCUGUGCCAGCAGCCGCGGGAAUACAGAGGUCUCAAGCGUUGUCCGGAAUCACUGGGCGUAAAGCGUGCGUAGGCUGUUUCGUAAGUCGUGUGUGAAAGGCGCGGGCUCAACCCGCGGACGGCACAUGAUACUGCGAGACUAGAGUAAUGGAGGGGGAACCGGAAUUCUCGGUGUAGCAGUGAAAUGCGUAGAUAUCGAGAGGAACACUCGUGGCGAAGGCGGGUUCCUGGACAUUAACUGACGCUGAGGCACGAAGGCCAGGGGAGCGAAAGGGAUGAGAUACCCCUGUAGUC
rnacentral:rRNA from 1 species